ACGGCCUUCGGGUUGUAAACUCCUUUCGUUAGGGACGAAGCCACACCUUUUUUUGGGUGUGGUGACGGUACCUUUGUUAAGAAGCACCGGCUAACUACGUGCCAGCAGCCGCGGUAAUACGUAGGGUGCGAGCGUUGUCCGGAAUUACUGGGCGUAAAGAGCUCGUAGGUGGUUUGUUGCGUCGUCUGUGAAAUUCCGGGGCUUAACUUCGGGGUGGCAGGCGAUACGGGCAUAACUAGAGUGCUGUAGGGGAAACUGGAAUUCCUGGUGUAGCGGUGGAAUGCGCAGAUAUCAGGAGGAACACCGAUGGCGAAGGCAGGUCUCUGGGCAGUAACUGACGCUGAGGAGCGAAAGCAUGGGGAGCGAACAGGAUUAGAUACCCUGGUAGUCCAUGCUGUAAACGGUGGGCGUUAGGUGUGGGGACCGGUUUGGUUUCUGUGCCGUAGCUAACGCAUUAAGCGCCCCGCCUGGGGAGUACGGCCGCAAGGCUAAAACUCAAAGGAAUUGACGGGGGCCCGCACAAG
rnacentral:rRNA from 1 species